rnacentral:tRNA from 1 species
GCCGGGUUAGCUCAGUUGGCAGAGCACUUGAUUUGUAAUCAUGUGGUCGUGGGUUCGAUUCCCACACCCGGCU